rnacentral:rRNA from 1 species
CGAGCGUGCGGUGGAUGCCUUGGCGCAGAUGGCCGAAGAAGGGCGUGGCCAACCACGAAACGCGUCGGUGAGGUGUUAGCAACCUAACCCGGCGAUACCCGAAUGGGGAAACCCGGCACCCGUAUAGGGGUGUCAUCUCUAUAUGAGAAGGCUAAGCGGGCGAACUGAAACAUCUUAGUAGCUCGCGAGAAGAAAUCAACCGAGAUUCCCUGAGUAGUGGCGAGCGAAAGGGGAAGAGCCUAAACCACCUAGAUGUCAAGGCUGUGGCCGUUGUCUAGGAGGUGUUGUGGGGCUGCCAGGAGGAGACCACAGAUCCUCGCGUUUAAUGCAUGCUAGCCGAAUGGUUCAGGAAAGACCAACCAAAGAGGGUAAUGGUCCCGUAGGCGAAAGCAUCGCAAGCGGCGUGUGGCAGUACCCGAGUAAGGCGGAGCCCUGAGAUUCCGUCUGAAUCUGGGUGGACCACCAUCCAAGGCUAAACACCAUCUGCGACCGAUAGUGUACCAGUACCGUGAGGGAAAGGUGAAAAGAACCGGGAGAGCCGGAGUGAAAUAGAUCUGAAACCGUACGCUUACAAUCAGUCAGAGCCCGUCUAAUCGGGUGAUGGCGUACCUUUUGUAGAAUGGACCGGCGAGUUAUUUUCAGCAGCGAUAGGUUAAGACGGUGAACGUCGAAGCCGCAGGGAAACCGAGUCUCAACAGGGCGACUAGUUGCUGGAGAUAGACCCGAAACUGGGUGAGCUACCCAUGGCCAGGGUGAAGCGUGUGUAACAACUCGUGGAGGCCCGAACCAGGGACGGUUGAAAACGUCUUGGAUGAGCUGUGGGUAGAGGUGAAACGCCAAUCGAACCCAGAUAUAGCUGGUUCUCCCCGAAAUAUAUUUAGGUAUAGCCUUGCGUGAUCCCCAUCGGAGGUAGAGCACUGAAAGGACUAGGGGCCUUACCCGGUUACCAAACCCUAUCAAACUCCGAAUGCCGAUGGGCAAAGCGCAGGAGUCAGUCCGCGGGGGAUAAGCUUCGCGGGCAAGAGGGAAACACCCCAGACCAUCGUCUAAGGCCCCUAAAUUCUAGCUUAGUGGGAAAGGAUGUGGAGAGGUUCAGACAACCAGGAGGUUGGCUUAGAAGCAGCCACCCUUUAAAGAGUGCGUAAUAGCUCACUGGUCGAGUCUUUCUGCGCCGAAAAUGUAACGGGGCUCAAGCUAGAUGCCGAAGCCGUGGAUCAAUGCAAAUUGGUGGUAGGGGAGCGUCGCGCGUUAGGUAGAAGGAUGACCGUGAGGGCGUCUGGACGAAGCGCGAGUGAGAAUGCCGGUAUGAGUAGCGAAAAAGAGCGUGAGAAUCGUUCUGGCCGAAAACCCAAGGUUUCUUAAGCAAGGCUCGUCCUCUUAAGUUUAGGCGGUCCUAAGGCGAGGCCGAGAGGCGUAGUCGAUGGACAGCAGGUUGAUAUUCCUGCCCCACGUUUUGGAGCGAUGCAGGGACGCGGUGAACAAGAUCAGCGGACUGCUGGAUGUUCGUGAGCGGGCGUAGGUGUGCCGUAGGUAAAUCCGCGGCAGGAAACCGAGACCCGGGACGCAAGAAGCCGCAAGGCGACUGAAGUGAUUGGAUGCACCGACAAGAAAAGCUGCUAAGCGAUGAAGAAACGUGACCGUACCGAUAACCGACACAGGUGGGUAGGCUGAGUAUGCUAAGGCCAGCGUGAUAACCCUCGCUAAGGAACUCGGCAAAUUAGCUCCGUAACUUCGGGAUAAGGAGCGCCCUCAGUAGGCUGACCACUUCGCGUGGAAGGUUGAAAGGGGUCGCAGUGAAAUGGCCCGGGCGACUGUUUAUCAAAAACAUAGGUCCCUGCUAAACCGUAAGGUGAUGUAUAGGGGCUGACGCCUGCCCAAUGCUAGUAGGUUAAGGGGAGGUGUGCAAGCACCGAUCCGAAGCCCUAGUGAAUGGCGGCCGUAACUAUAACGGUCCUAAGGUAGCGAAAUUCCUUGUCGGGUAAGUUCCGACCUGCACGAAUGGCGUAACGAUCUGGGCACUGUCUCGGCGAGGGACACGGCGAAAUUGUAGUCUGCGUGAAGAUGCGCAGUACUUGCAGCAGGACGGAAAGACCCCGUGGAACUUUACUAUACCCUGAUAUUGGUCUUCGGGGCCGCAUGUAGAGUAUAGGUGGGAGGCAUUGAAGCAGUGUCGUCAGGGGCUGUGGAGCCAACGUUGGAAUACCACCCUUGCGGUCGCUGAGGGUCUAACUCGGAUUAACAGAUCCGGGGACAUUGUCAGGCGGGUAGUUUGACUGGGGCGGUCGCCUCCUAAACCGUAACGGAGGCGCACAAAGGUUCCCUCAGCGCGGUCGGAAAUCGCGCAGAGAGUGCAAGAGCAGAAGGGAGCUUAACUGCGAGACCAACAAGUCGAGCAGAUGCGAAAGCAGGUUCUAGUGACCCGCCGGCUCAGAGUGGAAUGGCCGACGAUCAACGGAUAAAAGUUACCCCGGGGAUAACAGGCUUAUAGCGGCCACGCGCCCAUAGCUACGCCGCUGUUUGGCACCUCGAUGUCGGCUCGUCGCAUCCUGGGGCUGGAGUAGGUCCCAAGGGUUUGGCUGUUCGCCAAUUAAAGCGGCACGCGAGCUGGGUUCAGAACGUCGUGAGACAGUUCGGUCCCUAUCCAUCGUGGGCGCAGGAGAUUUGAGAGGAGCUGUCCUUAGUACGAGAGGACCGGGAUGGACGCACCAAGGGUGAAUCAGUUGUCGUGCCAACGGCAUAGCUGGGUAGCCAAGUGCGGAGCGGAUAAACGCUGAAGGCAUCUAAGCGUGAAGCCGACCUCAAGAUAAGAUCUCCCAUCCGAAAGGAGUAAGACCCCUUGA